rnacentral:lncRNA from 1 species
CUUGAGUUGUCCCAUCAGCUCUAUUAGUAUAUAAUUUGUUAAUGUUGGGCGAUGUUGUUGGAGAUUCUAUAUGGAUACAUUUUUUAAUGUCUUGAUUUCUUGUCAUUUAGAAUCCACUGCAUCAUGCUUUUGUGUCUGCUGUAUCAACUAUCUCUAUUCCUAAGACCGUCAAGGAAGCAUUAUCUCAUCCAGGAUGGAGACAAGCAAUGAUUGAUGAAAUGAAUACCUUGGAGUUUAGUAGUACAUGGAAGCUUG